CUUGUCCUACGGGGCGCAGCAGUGAGGAAUAUUGGUCAAUGGGCGGGAGCCUGAACCAGCCAAGUCGCGUGAGGGAAGACGGUCCUAUGGAUUGUAAACCUCUUUAGGCGGGGAGCAAUGCCGGGCACGCGUGCCCGGAGGGAGAGUACCCGCAGAAUAAGCAUCGGCUAACUCCGUGCCAGCAGCCGCGGUAAUACGGAGGAUGCGAGCGUUAAUCGGAAUUACUGGGCGUAAAGCGCGCGUAGGCUGUUGUGUAAGUUGGGGGUGAAAUCCCACGGCUCAACCGUGGAACAGCCCUUGAUACU
rnacentral:rRNA from 1 species